UACGUAGGGUGCAAGCGUUGUCCGGAAUUAUUGGGCGUAAAGAGCUCGUAGGCGGUCUGUUGCGUCGGCUGUGAAAACCCGGGGCUCAACUCCGGGCCUGCAGCCGAUACGGGCAGACUAGAGUUCGGCAGGGGAGACUGGAAUUCCUGGUGUAGCGGUGAAAAUGCGCAGAUAUCAGGAGGAACACCGGUGGCGAAGGCGACUCUUUGGCCUAUAACUACGUGAG
rnacentral:rRNA from 1 species